rnacentral:rRNA from 1 species
GCCAGAGAGGGUGAAAGCCCCGUAAGCGAAAGACGAGUUGACAUGGCGGGAUCCAGAGUACCACGAGACACGUGGAACCUUGUGGGAAUAUGCGGGGACCACCCCGUAAGGCUAAAUACUACUUAGUGACCGAUAGCGCAUAGUACUGUGAAGGAAAGGUGAAAAGGACCCCGGGAGGGGAGUGAAAAAGAACCUGAAACCAUAUGUUUACAAGCUGUGGAAGAGCUUUAUAUGCUCAACCGCGUACUUUUUGUAGAACGGUCCGGCGAGUUACGCUGGCUGGCGAGGUUAAGCACUGAAGGUGUGGAGCCGAAGGGAAACCAAGUCUGAAUAGGGCGAAGAGUCAGUCGGAGUAGACCCGAAACCGGGUGAUCUAUCCAUGUCCAGGUUGAAGUUGCCGUAAAAGGCAAUGGAGGACCGAACCCACAUCCGUUGAAAAGGGUGGGGAUGAGGUGUGGAUAGGGGAGAAAUUCCAAUCGAACCCGGAGAUAGCUGGUUCUCCUCGAAAUAGCUUUAGGGCUAGCCUCAUACGAGUCUUGCGGAGGUAGAGCACUGAAUUCCUAAGGGGGCGUCAAAGCUUACUAAGGGAUAUCAAACUCCGAAUGCCGUGUAGAUGAUGUAUGGGAGUCAGACGAUCCGAGAUAAGUUGGGUGGUCAAAAGGGAAAGAGCCCAGACCAACAGCUAAGGCCCCAAAAUGUGUGUUAAGUGGAAAAGGAUGUGGGAUUUCGAAGACAACUAGGAUGUUGGCUCAGAAGCAGCCAUCCAUUCAAAGAGUGCGUAAUAGCUCACUAGUCGAGAGGUCCUGCGCCGAAAAUGUCCGGGGCUGAAACACACUGCCGAAGCUUUGGAAUUGAAUUAGUUCAAUUGGUAGAGGAGCAUUCUUAAAGAGACGAAGCAGUACCGGAAGGAGCUGUGGAUUUUUAAGAAGAGAGAAUGCCGGAAUGAGUAGCGAGAGGAAGGUGGGAAUCCUUCCGGCCGAAUAUCUAAGGUUUCCAGAGUAAAGCUGAUCUGCUCUGGGUAAGUCGGGGCCUAAGGCGAGGUCGAAAGACGUAGUCGAUGGAUAACAGGUUGAAAUUCCUGUACUAUCCUGUAACAGAACUGUGGGGACACAGGCAGAGAGCGUGAGCCGGGAAUGGAAAGACCGGUACAAGCGAGGUAGGAGUUCAGUUGGCAAAUCCGCUGAACAAUCUGAAGACGUGAUGUGGACCGAAAAGAAGUAGGGAAGCACGUGAGCUGACUGUCAAGAAAAGCCGCUAUUGUUUGCAGGAUACCCGUACCGUAAACCGACACAGGUGGAUGAGGAGAGAAUCCUAAGGCCGACGGGAGAAGCAUUGUUAAGGAACUCGGCAAAAUGACUCCGUAACUUCGGGAGAAGGAGUGCCAGUAAGAUGGCCGCAGAGAAUUGGCCCAAGCAACUGUUUAGCAAAAACACAGGUCUAUGCAAAACCGAAAGGUGAGGUAUAUGGGCUGACGCCUGCCCGGUGCUGGAAGGUUAAGGGGAGAGGUUAGCGCAAGCGAAGCUUUGAACUUAAGCCCCAGUAAACGGCGGCCGUAACUAUAACGGUCCUAAGGUAGCGAAAUUCCUUGUCGGGUAAGUUCCGACCCGCACGAAAGGCGUAAUGAUUUGGGCACUGUCUCAACAAUGCACCCGGUGAAAUUGAAAUACCAGUGAAGAUGCUGGUUACCUGCGCCAGGACGGAAAGACCCCAUGGAGCUUUACUCCAGCUUGAUACUGGGAUUCGGUAUUGUAUGUACAGGAUAGGUGGGAGGCUUAGAAGUGGUUACGCCAGUAGCCAUGGAGCCGCUGUUGGGAUACCACCCUUGCAGUACUGGGUUUCUAACCAGCAGCCGUGACCCGGCUGGGGGACAAUGUCAGGUGGGGAGUUUGACUGGGGCGGUCGCCUCCGAAAGGGUAUCGGAGGCGCUCAAAGGUUCCCUCAGAAUGGUUGGAAACCAUUCGAAGAGUGCAAAGGCAGAAGGGAGCUUGACUGCGACACCGACGGGUGGAGCAGGUACGAAAGUAGGACUUAGUGAUCCGGUGGUAUAAAGUGGGAUUGCCAUCGCUCAACGGAUAAAAGCUACCCUG